AGCAGCCGCGGUAAUUCCAGCUCCAAUAGCGUAUAUUAAAGUUGUUGCAGUUAAAAAGCUCGUAGUUGAACUUCGGGAUUUGCUCAUUGGUCAGGCUUAACUGUCUGUACUGGUGUAACGAAUUCCUACCUUCUGAUGAAUCUUCAUGCCAUUUACUUGGUGCGUAGGGGAAUCAGGACUGUUACUUUGAAAAAAUUAGAGUGUUUAAAGCAGGCUAUUGCUCGAAUACAUUAGCAUGGAAUAAUAGAAUAGGACGGUUGGUUCUAUUUUGUUGGUUUCUAGGAUCACCGUAAUGAUUAAUAGGGAUAGUUGGGG
rnacentral:rRNA from 1 species